AAGAUACAAUCAUCUCAACUGACUUCCAGUAACUUGGUAUGAAGGGAAGAAAUCUUGGAUACACCCAUGACCAUGGCUGGGCUUGCUGUUCCCAUUCACGUGCCGUGCGUUUCCCCGGAUUGCCUGCGAGAGGAGUGUCGACCCUCGGGAAUUGUUUAGCAGCGAUUCACUGGCCUUAACCUGGGAACAGCAUCCCUGACCCUGAGAUACCCCCAGCCAUGGCUCUGCCUCUCGGCGAACAACCUGAAACUUUAUCUCCCUGCAGCGUGCAGAGACCCGUGGGAUAUUCACACGCUGCACAAUGGCAAUGUCAUGGUGUGCAGUGCAGAACAGUGCCUGAAACCUGGCCUUUGGGUUAGUAAUCUAUCCAGCUCUUAAGGCAUCGGCUUUACCUUACCUCCCUCUCUGUGCU